CAGCAGCAGCAGCCGCAAUGUCGCUGAUGACUGGAUUGCCAUAUCUGUUGAGGUGGUAUGUAGUACGCUGGUGGAAGAUCGACGAGAAGCGAUUAAUGCUUGGAGCAAGGAACUUCGAGGGGCAUUUUCCAUGAUUUCGGCGUAAUAAACUAUUGUUACUGCUUUGACGGAGUCUAGACUCUAGAGUUUUCAUACAGCUAUUUUUUUU